UACGAAGGGGGCUAGCGUUGCUCGGAAUGACUGGGCGUAAAGGGCGCGUAGGCGGUGGACACAGUCAGGCGUGAAAUUCCUGGGCUCAACCUGGGGGCUGCGUUUGAUACGUGUUUGCUAGAGUGGGGAAGAGGGUCGUGGAAUUCCCAGUGUAGAGGUGAAAUUCGUAGGUAUUGGGAAGAACACCGGUGGCGAAGGCGGCGACCUGGUCCUUGACUGACGCUGAGGCGCGAAAGCGUGGGGAGCAAACAGG
rnacentral:rRNA from 1 species